CUGCGAAGAGCGCGCUCCGCGGCGGCUGGGGGAUAACCCCCGUUUGCCAGCAUGAUCAAGGGUUGUCAGAAUGAGUGUGUGGCUGGAGGAUGUGCAGGGGAAGCCACAAAGCAUGUGACUGAAUCUUUCAAGUCUUCUGCAGACAGACCCAACCUUCCUGGGCUCCAAGCCAGUGGGAUGUGAGCCCAUGGCAGACUGGAAGCUACAUAGGCAGG